GUUCCUGUGGAUCAGUCAGUAAAACAUUGCUCUAGCAACGCAGAGAUUGUGGGAUCGAAUCCCAUGGGGAAGA